rnacentral:lncRNA from 1 species
AUGCCAAAAGCAAGCAUUUUGUUUUCAUUCUCGUCAUUCAACAAUGCAAGGUCAUUCCAAAUCAACUAUUACAACACUUCUUGGAUAAUCUGUUUAUUUGUUGCUGGGCUUGGAAUAUGUUGCUGGGCUUGGAGCUGAAUAUGUUGCUGGGCUUGGAGCUUAUAACAGAAGGAUGUCCACUUGGUCUCGCCCACUUGCUCGGGUUAUCCGGAUAUCAGUUUGAAGUCGGGUCCCUAUAUAAUACUUGGGGAUCUUAUCAUCUCACCUAACAAGUCAUUAUUGGUGUCUUCUUUCAGUUCAGUUUGUUCUCUCUUUUUAGGCGAUUAGGGUUUGUAUAUGUGAAUCACUUUGAUUCAUUUUGAGAGUUUAUUCCCUGUUGUUGUCUAGCAGAUUAUCAUGUUGAUAAUCUGCAAGUGAGAGAUUUAUUGUGAGAGAUUUCAGUCUUUGUUUGUCUUGUUCGUUUGUAUCAGUUUGUCUGGGUUAAUAAUACUUUGGUUUGG